AUUAAACGCUGGCGGCAUGCCUUACACAUGCAAGUCGAACGGUAACAGGUUAAGGUGACGAGUGGCGAACUGGUGAGUAAUGUAGCGGAACGUGCCCAGGCGUGGGGGAUAACUACUCGAAAGAGUGGCUGAUAGCGCAUACGACCUUAGGGGGAAUGCGGGGGGACGUAAGGCCUAGCGGGAGUGGAGCCGACGAUAUCCGAUUAGCUAGUUGGUGGGGUAAAAGCCCACCAAGGCGACGAUCUGUAGCUGGUCUGAGAGGACGACCAGCCACACUGGGACUGAGACACGGCCCAGACUCCUACGGGAGGCAGCAGUGGGGAAUUUUGGACAAUGGACGCAAGUCUGAUCCAGCCAUGCCGCGUGCGGGAAGAAGGCCUUCGGGUUGUAAACCGCUUUUGUCAGGGAAGAAACGAGUUUCUCUAAUACAGAGACUUAAUGACGGUACCUGAAGAAUAAGCACCGGCUAACUACGUGCCAGCAGCCGCCGUAAGAC
rnacentral:rRNA from 1 species